rnacentral:rRNA from 1 species
GAUGAACGCUAGCUACAGGCUUAACACAUGCAAGUCGCGGGGCAGCAUGGGGGUUGCUUGCAAUCCCCGAUGGCGACCGGCGCACGGGUGAGUAACGCGUAUCCAACCUGCCCUUCACCACGGGAUAACCCGGCGAAAGUCGGACUAUACCGGAUGGUGUCCAUUUACGGGAUCCGGAUUGGACGGAAGGGUUGGGCGGGGAGGGUGGGGAUGCGUCCGAUUAGCUGGACGGCGGGGUGACGGCCCACCGUGGCGACGAUCGGUAGGGGUUCUGAGAGGAAGGUCCCCCACACUGGAACUGAGACACGGUCCAGACUCCUACGGGAGGCAGCAGUGAGGAAUAUUGGUCAAUGGGCGUAAGCCUGAACCAGCCAAGUAGCGUGCAGGAUGACGGCCCUAUGGGUUGUAAACUGCUUUUAUGCGGGGAUAAAGUGGCCCACGGGUGGGUUUUUGCAGGUACCGCAUGAAUAAGGACCGGCUAAUUCCGUG